GUACUCCCGCGAGACGCUCCGGGUGCUGGUCGUGGCAGGCAGGCUGAGGCAGCCAGUCUGCGGCGGGGCGACCCGGGGAGCAGACGGAUCGUCGACGGCACAGUGAGUGAGCGAAGUGAGCGAGUGAGAGCGAGAGCCAGUCGGAAGGACGAGAGUGUUCAGCGCCGAUCGAAACCGAAGAUUUUUGAAACAAUGCGUUAGAGAACACUUUGAGAGUUUUGUGCAGAAGGGCCCCCAGGCAAAGAAGGGCAACACCAGCCGGAGGACAGAGAGAACAAGCCCCGAGGAAAAUCGAUCACGAGAGGUUUGUGUGCAUUGCGUGGCCGUCGCUGAUUGCGGGAUCGUCAACGCCAGACACGAGCAUUUGUAGCUGCUUCUUAUCCCAUGGCUCGGCUCAGGUCACUUUAGGCUUCCUUAAUCAUCGAAGGUGACACAGAAGGAAAAUCUUGCUAUUGCUUUGACCUUUCCGGGUUGCACGCGAAGCCCGCCUUGUG